AAGCUUGGUCCUGACUUUACUAUCAACUUUGGCCCUAAUUACACAUGCAAGUAUCCGCCCCCCCGUGAGAAUGCCCUAAAGCCCCCGCCAAGGGGCCAAGGAGCAGGUAUCAGGCACAAUAUAAUAUUAGCCCACGACACCUUGCUCAGCCACACCCCCAAGGGAUUUCAGCAGUGAUAAAAAUUAAGCUAUAAGUGUAAACUUGACUUAGUUAAGGCCAACCCGGGGCCGGUAAAACUCGUGCCAGCCACCGCGGUUAUACGAGAGGCCCAAGCUGAUAUGCCAUCGGCGUAAAGAGUGGUUAAUAAAUAACAAACUAAAGCUAAACACCUUCAAGGCCGUUAUACGCAAUCGAAAGUAGGAAAUAUAUCCACGAAAGUGGCUUUAAAACUAUGAAUCCACGAAAACUGGGACACAAACUGGGAUUAGAUACCCCACUAUGCCCAGCCCUAAACACAAAUGGCACCAAUACACCUGCCAUUCGCCCGGGUACUACAAGCACUAGCUCAAAACCCAAAGGACUUGGCGGUGCUUUAGAACCACCUAGAGGAGCCUGUUCUAUAACCGAUAAUCCCCGUUCAACCUCACCCCUUCUUGCCACUACCGCCUAUAUACCGCCGUCGUCAGCUUACCCUGUAAAGGUCAUAUAAUAAGCAAAAUUGGUAUAGCCCAACACGUCAGGUCGAGGUGUAGCACAUGAAGGGGAAAGAAAUGGGCUACACUCCCUGAGACAGGGGACACAAACGAUAACUUGAAAUAACUAUCUGAAGGUGGAUUUAGCAGUAAGGAAAAAUAGAACAUUUCCCUGAAACCGGCCCUGAAGCGCGCACACACCGCCCGUCACUCUCCCC
rnacentral:ncRNA from 1 species